rnacentral:rRNA from 1 species
UACGUAGGGUGCAAGCGUUAAUCGGAAUUACUGGGCGUAAAGCGUGCGCAGGCGGUUUUGUAAGACUGUCGUGAAAUCCCCGGGCUUAACCUGGGAAUGGCGAUGGUGACUGCAAGGCUAGAGUUUGGCAGAGGGGGAUGGAAUUCCGCGUGUAGCAGUGAAAUGCGUAGAUAUGCGGAGGAACACCGAUGGCGAAGGCAAUCCCCUGGGCCUGUACUGACGCUCAUGCACGAAAGCGUGGGGAGCAAACAGG